rnacentral:misc_RNA from 1 species
UGGCUCUCGCAUCGAUGAAGAACGCAGCGAAAUGCGAUAAGUAAUGUGAAUUGCAGAAUUCAGUGAAUCAUCGAAUCUUUGAACGCACCUUGCGCCCCAUGGUAUUCCGUGGGGCAUGCCUGUUUGAGUGUCACGUGAAACCCUCACUCCUGUCUAGCCGCGAGGCUUGACCUGCAGUGGACUUGGACUGUGCCGGUCGCUCGGCUCGUCUUGAAAUUCAUUAGCUGUGCUGCGCGAUUUCGGCCGCCUGGUGUGAUAAAUAUCUACGCCAACAUGCGUCGUCGUCCGUCUGUGUGGCUCACAACCGUCGAAAGACAACACACUUAACGCUCUGGCCUCAAAUCAGGUAGGACUACCCGCUGA